UACGUAGGGACCGAGCGUUGUCCGGAAUCAUUGGGCGUAAAGAGCGUGUAGGCGGCCUUUUAAGUCCUGCGUGAAAUCCUGCGGCUCAACCGCAGACGGUCGUGGGAAACUGGAAGGCUAGAGUGCGGGAGAGGAGAGUGGAAUUCCCGGUGUAGCGGUGAAAUGCGCAGAUAUCGGGAGGAACACCCGUAGCGAAGGCGGCACUCUGGGCCGAUACUGACACUGAGGAGCGAAAGCGUGGGGAGCGAACAGG
rnacentral:rRNA from 1 species